rnacentral:ncRNA from 2 species
CACGUAGGGUGCGAGCGUUGUCCGGAAUUAUUGGGCGUAAAGAGCUCGUAGGCGGUGUGUCGCGUCGGCCGUGAAAACUUGGGGCUUAACUCUGAGCUUGCGGUCGAUACGGGCAUCACUGGAGUUCGGCAGGGGAGACUGGAAUUCCUGGUGUAGCGGUGAAAUGCGCAGAUAUCAGGAGGAACACCGGUGGCGAAGGCGGGUCUCUGGGCCGAUACUGACGCUGAGGAGCGAAAGCGUGGGGAGCGAACAGG